UAAAUAUCUAAAUUUAAGUAUAUCAUUUACAAUGAUAAGAUGUUGUUAAACUUUAUUUAAAUUAAAUUUAUUAAUAUAUUUUUUUUUUUUUUUA
rnacentral:tRNA from 2 species